rnacentral:rRNA from 1 species
AUUGAACGCUGGCGGAAUGCUUUACACAUGCAAGUCGAACGGUAGAGGGGGCAACCCCUCGAGAGUGGCGAACGGGUGAGUAAUAUAUCGGAACGUGCCCAGUCGUGGGGGAUAACGUAGCGAAAGUUACGCUAAUACCGCAUACGAUCUACGGAUGAAAGCGGGGGAUCGCAAGACCUCGCGCGAUUGGAGCGGCCGAUAUCAGAUUAGGUAGUUGGUGGGGUAAAGGCUCACCAAGCCAACGAUCUGUAGCUGGUCUGAGAGGACGACCAGCCACACUGGAACUGAGACACGGUCCAGACUCCUACGGGAGGCAGCAGUGGGGAAUUUUGGACAAUGGACGCAAGUCUGAUCCAGCCAUUCCGCGUGCAGGAUGAAGGACCUCGGGUUGUAAACUGCUUUUGUACGGAACGAAAAGGUUUCCAUUAAUACUGGGAGCUCAUGACGGUACCGUAAGAAUAAGCACCGGCUAACUACGUGCCAGCAGCCGCCGCAG